UGGGGCGUUGGCUAAUGGUAAGCCACGGGUCUUUGGAACCCGCUAUUGUAGGUUCGAGUCCUACCGCCCCAG
rnacentral:tRNA from 1 species